ACGGAGGAUCCGAGCGUUAUCCGGAUUUAUUGGUUUUAAAGGGUGCGUAGGUGGGCUGUUAAGUCAGCGGUGAAAGUUUGUGGCUCAACCAUAAAAUUGCCGUUGAAACUGCCAGUCUUGAGUAUGUUUGAGGUAGGCGGAAUGCGUGGUGUAGCGGUGAAAUGCUUAGAUAUCACGCAGAACUCCGAUUGCGAAGGCAGCUUACUAAACCAUAAAUGACACUGAAGCACGAAAGCGUGGGUAUCAAACAG
rnacentral:rRNA from 1 species